GGGAGUUUGGCCGAGUGGUUAAGGCGCUGUGUUUAGGUAUAGGAAAACCAACUUUGAACUGGUUCAUACCAUAGACCCGCAGUGGGAAACCGCGCAGGUUCGAAUCCUGCAGCUCUCA